rnacentral:rRNA from 1 species
UACGUAGGGUGCAAGCGUUUGUCCGGAAUUUAUUGGGCGUAAAGAGCUCGUAGGCGGUUUGUCGCGUUCUGCUGUGAAAACCCGAGGCUCAACCUCGGGCCUGCAGUGGGUACGGGCAGACUAGAGUGCGGUAGGGAGAUUGGAAUUCCUGGUGUAAGCGGUGGAAUCGUAGAUAUCGGGAGAACACAGUGGCGAAGGCGGCGAUCUGGGAAGAUACUGACGCUGAAGGUGCGAAAAGCGUGGGGGAG